rnacentral:siRNA from 1 species
AACAUUUCUUCCAAUCUUCGCCA